AUGUAUGUCUUGGUUCUUAUUUCUCUGUGGGAAAAGUGGAUGAAAACAAUUCCGUCUCCUCCUCGUGUCCCCAAUCUUGUUGCCCGCCGGCACUACUCAAAAACUACAACACUUUCGGAUACUACCUGCUUGGCUUUGCUGUUCUCCAGAUUUUCCACCCUGUGCCUAAGGUAUGAAUAUGUGUUUAUUUUGUGUUUAUAUAUCUGUUUAUUUUCUCCAGACUCUUGGGUGGUUUUCAAUCUGAAGAUUGAGAUUUUUCUUCAAUUUUGAUCAAUUUCUAGCCAUUUCCUCCAUUCUUCUGGCUAUGUUCACUAAGGUAUGCUAGAUCUUGUCAUUUCUUUCUCUGUAUCUCUUAGCCACGGUUGCUCCCAUAUUUUUCUUCUCUUCAUUUUCUCGCUGUGUACCAGCAGAGUGAUUUGUUUUCUAGAGGGACUUACUAACUUGCUAAAUGUCCUAUUCUGUUGUUCAAACUAUCAGUUUUAAAUCAAUAAUUUAUUAAAACUAUUUUUUCAUUUCUACAACUUCGAUUUGGCUUGUUUCCCAUCAAGUUUUUCAUAUUAUUCUAUUCUUUAUUACUGUGUCUUAUCUUUCUUUCUUUUUUAAGAUUUUAUUUUUAAGCAAUCUCUAUACCCAACGUGGGGCUUGAACCCACAGCCCCAAGAUCAAGAGUUGCACACUCCACCAACUGAACUAGCCAGGCAUCCUUUCUUUUAAAAUGGCUAAUGCCUGAGUGGCUCAUUCAGUUAAGCAUCCAACUUUGGCUCAGGUCAUGAUCUCCCAGUUCCUGAGUUUGAGCCCUGUGUUGGGCUCUGUGCUGACAGUUUGGAGCCUGGAGCCUGCUUCAAAUUCUGUGUCUCCCUCUCUCUCUGCCCCUCCCCCACUCGUGCUCUGUCUCUGUCUCUCUGUCUCUCAAAAAAUGAAUAAACAUUAAAAAUUUUUUUAAUUCUUUAUAAUG
rnacentral:lncRNA from 1 species